GUUCAGUACAAUCCACGAUUUCAGGCACCCUCCAGGGGUCUUGGAAUGUAUCCCUCAUGAACAAGCGCCAUCGCCCGUUGUAAUUGAUGUGUUCAUCAAGUCUGAUGGGAACCCUGCUAAUUUCUCACAAGAAACUGGAUCAGCUGCAGUUAUUUCUGCCAAUACCCCAGUUGGAUGUUUCCAUUUAGAUGCCAGCUGUACACUUCUCUUCACAGGAAAGACAAGGCACCAAGACAAGCGGGAGCCACACCAAAGACUUGGAUGAUGUCAGGGCCAGCAAGGGUGGAGUGGAGUCAGCCACGGUGUCGCGGGGCCCUGGACGGGGCUGUGUACAGAUACCAGUCUUCUCCUUGAAAACAGGUUUUGCAUUUCGGCUCACUUUCCUUGGA
rnacentral:lncRNA from 1 species